GAUGAACGCUGGCGGCGUGCUUAACACAUGCAAGUCGAACGAAGCAUUUAAGACAGAUUACUUCGGUUUGAAGUCUUUUAUGACUGAGUGGCGGACGGGUGAGUAACGCGUGGGUAACCUGCCUCAUACAGGGGGAUAGCAGCUGGAAACGGCUGGUAAUACCGCAUAAGCGCACAGUACCACAUGGUACAGUGUGAAAAACUCCGGUGGUAUGAGAUGGACCCGCGUCUGAUUAGCUUGUUGGCGGGGUAACGGCCCACCAAGGCGACGAUCAGUAGCCGACCUGAGAGGGUGACCGGCAACAUUGGGACUGAGACACGGCCCAGACUCCUACGGGAGGCAGCAGUGGGGAAUAUUGCACAAUGGAGGAAACUCUGAUGCAGCGACGCCGCGUGAGUGAAGAAGUAGUUCGCUAUGUAAAGCUCUAUCAGCAGGGAAGAUAGUGACGGUACCUGACUAAGAAGCUCCGGCUAAAUACGUG
rnacentral:rRNA from 1 species